UUUAUGGAGAGUUUGAUCCUGGCUCAGGAUGAACGCUGGCGGCGUGCCUAAUACAUGCAAGUCGAGCGAACAGAUAAGGAGCUUGCUCCUUUGACGUUAGCGGCGGACGGGUGAGUAACACGUGGGUAACCUACCUAUAAGACUGGAAUAACUCCGGGAAACCGGGGCUAAUGCCGGAUAACAUGUUGAACCGCAUGGUUCUACAGUGAAAGACGGUCUUGCUGUCACUUAUAGAUGGACCCGCGCCGUAUUAGCUAGUUGGUGGGGUAACGGCCUACCAAGGCGACGAUACGUAGCCGACCUGAGAGGGUGAUCGGCCACACUGGAACUGAGACACGGUCCAGACUCCUACGGGAGGCAGCAGUAGGGAAUCUUCCGCAAUGGGCGAAAGCCUGACGGAGCAACGCCGCGUGAGUGAUGAAGGUCUUCGGAUCGUAAAGCUCUGUUGUUAGGGAAGAACAAAUGUGUAAGUAACUGUGCACAUCUUGACGGUACCUAACCAGAAAGCCACGGCUAACUACGUGCCAGCAGCCGCGGUAAUACGUAGGUGGCAAGCGUUAUCCGGAAUUAUUGGGCGUAAAGCGCGCGUAGGCGGUU
rnacentral:rRNA from 1 species